rnacentral:lncRNA from 1 species
AGUGGGAGCUAUAAGCGUCUUAUGAGAGAAAGAUCAAAUCGUUUGAUUUCUCAUAAAGAUGUGAUGAAUCUUUUGUUUACUAGGUUUACAAAAGAUUAGUGGGAGUUAAUCAAAUUCCUAAAUUUGAAUAUAUAUAUAUGAUAUAUUAAUUUUGGAAAUGAAAAGAAUACUUCUUCGUUAAAGUUAUGACUUUAAACAUUCUAUAACGAUAGAAUGUAUAUGGGAGAUAUAGUCUAAAUACAUGGGAUAGAAAUCUAUAGUGAUAUAUUUCAAGAUAUAAUUUGAUUAUAUCAAUCCCUAAUAAUAGACAAGAGAUGCUAGGAAGUUUCUCAUAUGAUGAUAAACUUCAAUUAGAAGGACGACUCUAGUGAGAUUAGCAAGCUGCCCUUCUCAAAGGGAACGUACCCUUUGACUCCCAAAGAAAUAAUGCAUAAAUAGAAUCCUUUAUGCAUAUGCAGAAAGGUGAUUUAUGUAUUUCAUAUUGUAUGAAAAACAUUGAUAUGAGUUGUACCUAGAAAGGUACAAGACAAUAUCAGUGCAAGCUCAGGAUCAGAACCAUGGCAACUGUCAAGUGAGUCCUUGAGUAUUUAAGAAAUACUCAAGGAGAGAUUCCUCAAAGAAUGAGGAAGAAUUAGAGUAACGUAAUGGAAGCGUAAAUGUAUUAGAUUAUGAAUCUA